UACGGAGGGGGCAAGCGUUAUUCGGAAUUAUUGGGCGUAAAGGGCGCGUAGGCGGCUUGGCAAGUGGGAGGUGAAAUCCCUCGGCUUAACCGAGGAACUGCCCUCCAAACUGCUUUGCUUGAGGCCGGGAGAGGUAAGUGGAAUUCCCAGUGUAGCGGUGAAAUGCGUAGAUAUUGGGAGGAACACCAGUGGCGAAGGCGGCUUACUGGACCGGUUCUGACGCUGAGGCGCGAAAGCGUGGGGAGCAAACGGG
rnacentral:rRNA from 1 species